UCAACGUGAGGCAAGGCGGGUCGUUAUUUGAAUAGAUUCCGAUUCCCCCUUACUUCACGUUUUCAGAAGGAGCACAGAAUCCACGGCUACAUUCGCAGAAUGCAGAGGUCCACCUUCGUGCGCCAGCAUCCAUACCAGCAUCGGGGAGGACAGGGCAACAAGCAAAGGUUGCACGACGCUGCAAUCCUGACUGUCCCCGAUGGUAAAAGAACUGGUUUCCCGGUAAAGAACUGGUAAUGUUAGGUUGGACGACGAGGUGGGAGUCCCAAAAUAGAGCGACCAAGGGAGAGGACAGCCAACAACGGCAGCGGCACUCUGCUGUCGGAGAGAGCCAAACAGCACGUGGGGGAGCCGCACGCCGCCAACAGAGAAUGGCUUCCUCGCUGCUCGUCGUCCUGAAGGAGGCGCAUGAAAAGAGCGCGAGGCACAUAGAAAAGGCCGGCACUGGAGAGACUGAACAGAAAAUGCAAUAAAUACUGUUGAAUACUGUUUAAACUGUUUCCUGUUUAAGUCU